rnacentral:misc_RNA from 1 species
CUUUUCUUUAUUAAUUUAAAAAAAUUACAUAAUUCAAACAGAAAGACUUUUUAUUUUUUAGGGAUAAACAGAAAGACUUUGUGAUUCUUGCAGUUUCAAUAUGUGAAUUCUAUCUUACAAAAUGCAUUUUAAAUCUAUCAUGCAUGGAUCAAAUAUAGACCAGACCUGUAAACUUUAAAUGCUUGUCUAUAGAAAUAGACCAACCAGCAAAGCCAUGACAUCACUUGUAUUCUAGGCCACCAAUGACAGAAUUUGCCGUUUAGAAUACUUCAAGAAAGAAAGACCAAAACAACUUUUGUCUUAUACCCUCCCGAAUGUAGUACUGUCAGCUACAAAUACCUCAAGCUUAUCAGGAUCAUCCUCAUCUUCAAUACUUGGUGGCAAAAUUAAGAAAAUUAUAUCAAUACAAAAUGGAGAAAGCACAGCUUGUGUUCGUCCUAGCCCCUGCUAUGGGCCACCUUGUAUCGGCAGUGGAAGUAGCAAGGCUUCUUCUUAACCGUCAUGACUUGCUCUCCAUCACUGUCCUUGUCCUCAAUCAUUCUUCUGUCAACUCCGGAGUUCGUAACUACGUUGAGUCGCAAAGAGCUUCCUCUUCCACUAUAUCCAAUAGUCUUCGAUUCAUUGACCUGCCCAAAGACGAGCAUGAAUCAUUUAGUUUCUCUUCUCUCGCUGAGAGACAGAAACCCCAUGUCAAAGAAGCUGGGUUGAAGAUCACUCAGUCCGAGUCAAGCAUCGACUCGCCUCAGCUGGCAGGUUUUGUUAUUGAUAUGUUCUACACGCCAAUGAUAGAUGUGGCCAAUGAAUUUGGUGUUCCGUCUUACAUUUUCUUUACGUCGAGUGCAGCUUCUCUUGGUUUCAUGCUUUAUGUGCA